rnacentral:rRNA from 1 species
UAUUCGUGAAUCAUCGAAUCUUUGAACGCACAUUGCGCCCUCUGGUAUUCCGGAGGGCAUGCCUGUUUGAGCGUCGUU